UAGGGGGCAAGCGUUAUCCGGAUUUACUGGGUGUAAAGGGAGCGUAGACGGAACAGCAAGUCUGAUGUGAAAGGCAUGGGCGCAACCUGUGGACUGCAUUGGAAACUGUUGGUCUUGAGUACCGGAGGGGUAAGCGGAAUUCCUAGUGUAGCGGUGAAAUGCGUAGAUAUUAGGAGGAACACCAGUGGCGAAGGCGGCUGGCUGGACGGUAACUGACGUUGAGGCUCGAAAGCGUGGGGAGC
rnacentral:rRNA from 1 species